GACGAACGCUGGCGGCGUGCUUAACACAUGCAAGUCGAACGGAAAGGCCCUGCUUUUGUGGGGUGCUCGAGUGGCGAACGGGUGAGUAACACGUGAGUAACCUGCCCUUGACUUUGGGAUAACUUCAGGAAACUGGGGCUAAUACCGGAUAGGAGCUCCUGCUGCAUGGUGGGGGUUGGAAAGUUUCGGCGGUUGGGGAUGGACUCGCCGCUUAUCAGCUUGUUGGUGGGGUAGUGGCUUACCAAGGCUUUGACGGGUAGCCGGCCUGAGAGGGUGACCGGCCACAUUGGGACUGGGAUGCGGCACAGACUCCUACGGGAGGCAGCAGUGGGGAAUAUUGCACAAUGGGCGGAAGCCUGAUGCAGCAACGCCGCGUGCGGGAUGACGGCCUUCGGGUUGUAAUCCGCUUUCGCCUGUGACGAAGCGUGAGUGACGGUAAUGGGUAAAGAAGCACCGGCUAACUACGUG
rnacentral:rRNA from 1 species